rnacentral:SRP_RNA from 15 species
CCGGAAGGAAGCAAAGUCCAGCGAGUUCACGGAGGUGCCCGG